GACGAACCGUGCGAACGUUGUUCGGAAUCACUGGGCUUAAAGGGCGCGUAGGCGGCUUGCCAAGUCAGAGGUGAAAUCCUGCAGCUCAACUGUAGAAGUGCCUUUGAUACUGGUAAGCUCGAGGGAGGUAGGGGUGGGUGGAACUUCUGGUGGAGCGGUGAAAUGCGUUGAUAUCAGAAGGAACGCCGGUGGCGAAAGCGACUCACUGGACCUCUUCUGACGCUGAGGCGCGAAAGCUAGGGGAGCAAACGGG
rnacentral:rRNA from 1 species